GGCAGUCCGUGCAGAGCACCGACCUGUUCCCGAGCUUUUAGGGCCUCAGAAUGCCGUGGCCGCUGGUGCCCAGGGUGCCAGCACCCCCCCACCCCCCACCUGUGUCUCUGCAAGGGACCUCCCCGGGUGCCCAGAGGACCUGGGCUUCCCGUUUGCAGGGAGCAAACCUGGGCCUGGCUGCAGGUUGGCUCCCCAGAAGCUCCCGCUGUCCCCCUUCCCAUUUCCACCCCAAGGAGCCCGGAGCAGGUAGCUUAGGGCAGUCCAGCUGCCAGGUAGAGACGUACUUUCCGCAGGGGGUUGUGAGGAAGUGACCACCUUGUCACUAAAAAGGAAGUACCAACUGCCCAGGGUCGGUGCAGUCCAGGCUUCCCACAGAAGUCAGAAGACCUGCUCGCCACGGCACUCCUCACCCAGGGCAAGGCACGUCUUUACAAGGCCCCCCAGGACCCCCAGAUCCUCCCAGCCCACCUGCUCCUCCCCGCUCCAGCCCUGCUCUCCCCUACACUCUGCAGCAGUCACACUGAUCUCUCUGUCCCUCCCAGAGGUGCCAGCUGCCUUGGCACCUGCUGUUCCCUCGCCCUGAAGCUCUUCCCAGGGAGAUGCACACCUCACCCUUUUUGUCAUGCCCCCCCACCUCGUCUCUGCUCAUGACCGUGGCCCUAAAGCAGUCACCAUCACUCUGCUGCUUUAACCCGUUGGACCAGGGUGGGGGUGACACCUGUGUGUCCCACUGUCCUGCUGGAGAUUCCUUUACUAGACGUCAGGGAGCCAGGUGAGCUUCACGUGGCCUCAGCAGACCCACAACAGAAGGAGGAGGAAGCCAACGGCUCCAAGAAGGCUGCGUGGGGCCGGGAGGGUCUUCCAAACCUGCGGCCUCCCUCAGUGCGCUUCACGGCGCCUCAGCCAGCGCCCGGCCAGGGGACCCUGGGCGGUCUGCUCCAUCUCUCAGCUGGGGCUCCCGGCUGAUGCGAUGGAGAAGAGAACCUCAUGGGGUCAAGGUGGAGCAGUGACCUGAUCCAGGUGACACACCUGUCCAAGAGCCAGGUGUGGGUCAACAUGGCCAGGGUCCUGUCUCAGUAGGAAGAACAGUGCCUUCCGCACAGGGCUGGGGGGGUGUUAAAUGAGAGAGAAUGAUUCACCCAGCACAGGGCGGGCACACUGUGGGUGACUGAAGAAGGUCAGCUCUUUGACGGCCACCCCGGCUCCGUCAGUCCCGGCCAUCAGUCUCCCUGGAUACCCGCUUCCCACCUGCACUUGGGGCAAACUCCCUGGGAAGCAUCCAGAGCUGCUCACACCAGAGAGAGAAGGCUGUGCCCCUCACCCACAGAGCCCGACUGGUUCAGAGCCGGCGUUAGGGAGGCCGCCUGGCUGUCCCCACAGUUGGGCUGCGCCAGUCCAGGGGUACCCUGUGUGCCAGGGAUUGGUCCAGAGGUGGACACCUUCCGGAAAUAUGUGUAGGUUUCUGGAAAUGUUUCUAUUUGCCUCCCCUGGACUUUGGGGACCAUUGUGAAAGGACAAGAUGGGGGCGUGGAAGGCCAGGGAUGUUGCGAAGUUCCAAACCGGAGCUGCAGAACCGCCACCCCUGGAAGCCCCACCCAGACUUGUUCCAUGAGAUGAUGGAACGUCGGCUCAUGGUGAGUCAGACUCUCUCUCCGUUCCUAAGACGACCUCUGUGCUGGCCGUAGGGAGGACUGAGCUAAUCGGGCAUCCAAAGCACCUCGUGCAGGACUCGCCCCGUAAGAACUCUGAGCAGGGAAACUCAGAUCUGGCUGUGCCUUCUGGCGAGAACGGCGGCCCUGAAAAGCAGCCGGAGUUCAAACCCCCCCCCCAGGACUGGGAGGACCCUGCCCAGGCCUGGGCGGAUGUGGCCUCAAGGGCAAAGAGGAGUGAGGGCUGCCCCAAGGGUCACUGCUGGCCCGCCACAGCAGAGCUGGAGGACAGGACCUGAGCGCCACGUGCCCACCCCAGAGUCCCUCACGUCACACACAGUCCUGGGCAAGUCACUUCACCUCUCGGAGCCUUGACCUCCGCCUCUGUGACAUGGGCACGUGGCUGGUGAUCUCGGGGCUUGCCCACAGGCUGACCUUGGCAUCCAAGGCUUCAUCUGGGAAGUGGAAGCCACGGGCUCGUCCACCUCCCAGGAAACUGCUGUGCCAAGCAGCAGGACCUUCUGCUGGAGGAGUCCCAGUGUGGCCAGAUGGCUGCUGUCCCCAGAAACAAGACAUCUGCGCAAGUGUCCCUUUCCACCCAGCUUCCGCUGACUUACGUGGCUGUCACAGGGUCAGGAGGACAGGGUCAGGAGGACGCCGUCAGAACAUGGAGUGUGCCCGGAAGGGCCCCCCUGGGCGCCUACACCCCGCUUUCUGUCUCCGGGGCCUGUGUGUCCGCAUCCUGACGACGAGGAACACAUGGUGUGGAGAAAGGAGGACAUGGGGGUGACACGGUCCCGUCAGAGAGGGCAGUCUUCAGUGUGGGGUAACUGUAGCUCUCGCUUGAGGAGGUGAUUGUUAGGGUUUGGAUAGGAGGUGUCCCCGGACCCCGUUAACAGGCGUGCGGAGGUGAAAUGCCUCCAUUGUGAGUCUCGUGACCUGACCGGUCCAUCCAAGUGUGAAUGACCCCUCUGGAUGGUGACUGUCAGCAGGUGGGACGUGACUUCCGCUCUGCUUCCUCACUGCCAUAAGGGACAGCUUUUCCCUGGGGGCCAAGUGUUGUCCCUCUAUGGACUGAGACUCUGAAACCAUAAACCCCAAAUAAAUAAAUGUUUCCCUCUCUAAA